CGAACGGGUGAGUAACGCGUGAGGAACCUGCCUCAAAGAGGGGGACAACGGUUGGAAACGACUGCUAAUACCGCAUAAGCCCACAGGUCGGCAUCGACCAGAGGGAAAAGGAGCAAUCCGCUUUGAGAUGGCCUCGCGUCCGAUUAGCUAGUUGGUGAGGUAACGGCCCACCAAGGCAACGAUCGGUAGCCGGACUGAGAGGUUGAACGGCCACAUUGGGACUGAGACACGGCCCAG
rnacentral:rRNA from 1 species